UGGGGAAUAUUGCACAAUGGGCGCAAGCCUGAUGCAGCCAUGCCGCGUGUAUGAAGAAGGCCUUCGGGUUGUAAAGUACUUUCAGUCGGGAGGAAGGUGGUAAGGUUAAUAACCUUAUCAAUUGACGUUACCUACAGAAUAAGCACCGGCUAACUCCGUGCCAGCAGCCGCGGUAAUACGGAGGGUGCAAGCGUUAAUCGGAAUUACUGGGCGUAAAGCGCACGCAGGCGGCUGAUUGAGUCAGAUGUGAAAUCCCCGGGCUUAACCCGGGAAUUGCAUCUGAUACUGGUCAGCUAGAGUCUUGUAGAGGGGGGUAGAAUUCCAUGUGUAGCAGUGAAAUGCGUAGAGAUGUGGAGGAAUACCGGUGGCGAAGGCGGCCCCCUGGACAAAGACUGACGCUCAGGUGCGAAAGCGUGGGGAGCAAACAGG
rnacentral:rRNA from 1 species